GUGGAUUAGAUACCCUGGUAGUCCACGCCGUAAACGAUGGAUACUAGGUGUAGGAGGUAUCGACCCCUUCUGUGCCGGAGUUAACACAAUAAGUAUCCCACCUGGGGAGUACGAUCGCAAGAUUGAAACUCAAAGGAAUUGACGGGGGCCCGCACAAGCAGUGGAGUAUGUGGUUUAAUUCGAAGCAACGCGAAGAACCUUACCAGGACUUGACAUCCUUGGAAUUCUGUAGAGAUACGGAAGUGCCUUCGGGAAUCAAGAGACAGGUGGUGCACGGUCGUCGUCAACU
rnacentral:rRNA from 1 species